rnacentral:rRNA from 1 species
CAAUAGCGUAUAUUAAAGUUGUUGCAGUUAAAAAGCUCGUAGUUGGAUUUCUGAAUGGAUGCCGAUGCCCGCCUGUUGGCGUGUGCAAAGGUGCCCGUUCAUCCUUCUGUUAAGGUUUCUUAGUAUUCAUUUACUGGUUUCCGGCUCAGAUAUUUUACCUUGAAUAAAUUAGAGUGUUUCAGGCAAGCUUGGUCUUGAAUACAUUAGCAUGGAAUGAUAGAAUAGGACUCUAGAUCCUUUGUUGGUUUCUGGAUUUGGAGUAAUGAUUAAUAGGGAUAGUUGGGGGCAUUAGUAUUUAAUUGUCAGAGGUGAAAUUCUUGGAUUUAUUAAAGACUAACUUAUGCGAAAGCAUUUGCCAAGGAUGUUUUCAUUAA